rnacentral:rRNA from 1 species
CAUCCCGGGUUCGCUUACACAUGCAGUCGAACGGCAGCACAGGAGAGCUUGCUCUCUGGGUGGCGAGUGGCGGACGGGUGAGGAAUACAUCGGAAUCUACUCUGUCGUGGGGGAUAACGUAGGGAAACUUACGCUAAUACCGCAUACGACCUACGGGUGAAAGCAGGGGACCUUCGGGCCUUGCGCGAUUGAAUGAGCCGAUGUCGGAUUAGCUAGUUGGCGGGGUAAAGGCCCACCAAGGCGACGAUCCGUAGCUGGUCUGAGAGGAUGAUCAGCCACACUGGAACUGAGACACGGUCCAGACUCCUACGGGAGGCAGCAGUGGGGAAUAUUGGACAAUGGGCGCAAGCCUGAUCCAGCCAUACCGCGUGGGUGAAGAAGGCCUUCGGGUUGUAAAGCCCUUUUGUUGGGAAAGAAAUCCAGCUGGCUAAUACCCGGUUGGGAUGACGGUACCCAAAGAAUAAGCACCGGCUAACUUCGUGCCAGCAGCCGCGGUAAUACGAAGGGUGCAAGCGUUACUCGGAAUUACUGGGCGUAAAGCGUGCGUAGGUGGUCGUUUAAGUCCGUUGUGAAAGCCCUGGGCUCAACCUGGGAACUGCAGUGGAUACUGGAAGACUAGAAUGUGGUAGAGGGUAGCGGGAAUUCCUUGUGUACCAAUGAAAUGCUUAAUAUCAGGAGGUACAUCCAUGGCGGAAUGCAUCUUACCUGGACCAACAUUGACACUGAGGGACUAAAGCGUGGGGGAGCAUCAAGGAUUAUAUACCCCUGGAAGGCCACGCCCUAACAAUGCAAACUUG